ACCUGGGUUCAAAUCUUAGGCCUGGCAAGAGACUGAAGUUCCUUGACCUCAAGGCCUUUGUGUGUACAAUGGAAAAGCCCACAGCAUCGACCGACCUCAGAGCUGCUGUCGGUACUGGGUAGACAACGCCUUGCAAGCAUCACGCCCCUCGAUGUUGCUUACGGGAGACGUGUGCGUGGGCGCGGGAGGGUGCCCAAGCUGGUGCUGUGCACGCCAAUGGCAAUCCCAUCUUGUGGAAAAUCUAUGACUAGCAAAUACUUCACGAAAUCGGGAAUUAUUUU
rnacentral:lncRNA from 1 species